CCUANGGGAGGCUGCAGUCGAGAAUCUUUCGCAAUGGGGGAAACCCUGACGAAGCGACGCCGCGUGAGCGAUGAAGGCAUUCGUGUUGUAAAGCUCUGUCACAAGGGACGAAUAGUGAAGGUAUUAAUAAUACUCUCAUCUGACGGUACCUUGAGAGGAAGCCCCGGCUAACUCCGUGCCAGCAGCCGCGGUAAUACGGAGGGGGCAAGCGUUGUUCGGAUUUAUUGGGUGUAAAGGGUGUGUAGGUGGCAUAGUAAGUGAGAUGUGAAAUCUCCAGGCUUAACCUGGAAACAGCAUUUCAUACUGCUAAGCUAGAGUACCGCAGAGGCAAAUGGAAUUCUCGGUGUAAGGGUGAAAUCUGCAGAUAUCGAGAAGAACACCAGUGGCGAAGGCGAUUUGCUGGGCGGAUACUGACGCUGAAACACGAAAGCUAGGGGAGCGAACGGGAUUAGAUACCCCANUANUC
rnacentral:rRNA from 1 species